rnacentral:rRNA from 1 species
UACGAGGGGGGCGAGCGUUGUUCGGAAUUAUUGGGCGUAAAGGGCGUGUAGGCGGUUUGUUAAGUCAUGUGUGAAAUCCCUCGGCUCAACCGGGGAACGACGCAUGAAACUGGCAAGCUAGAGUACCAAAGAGGGGGGUGGAAUUCCCGGUGUAGCGGUGAAAUGCGUAGAUAUCAGGAAGAACACCCGUGGCUAAGGCGGCUCUCUAGUACGUGACUGACGCUGAGACGCGAAAGCGUGGGGAGCGAACAGG